UAACACCAGAAAUCCAAACUCCUCCCUGGACUUGAGACUAAAACAGAGAUUUCUGGAUGAAGUUUUUGUGAUCACCAAAGGCUGUGGAGGAGGGCUAAUGAUUUUAUCGAAGUGAUAGGCAUCUGUUGGUCUGGCUUCGCGGCCUCAUCAGAGCACCACAGACACACAGGUUGGAAACAAAUCCUCCCAGGAUGAGCAGUGCUCCUCUCCAGGAGUAAUGCUCUAUAAGUAGUUGGACUGCAGGAGCCAGGAUGAAGGUCCCAAUGCCACUACCUGAAGAUGAGGAGGCGGGGGCAGUUUAAAACUAUCUAUGAAAUGGUAGGCAUAUGGUGUGUACCUGUAAGGAUGCCCAUGAAGAUGUAGAGAUAUUCCAGGUUGGAAGCAAAGGAGCUGAGGACCAGACCAGCAGAAGACAGCAGACCUCCUAGGAUCACUGUAGCUCUACAGGACAGGCGAUUUCCAAGGAAACACCCCAGAGGAGCUGGAAACAGUUUCUGUGGAUUACUAUUUUACUGACUGAUUUUCACUGAGCAGUUCACGCACAGCAACUCAUAUAGGCUAUAUGUGGGAUAUAAAACCUGUAAACUUUACUGAGUCAAUUAUUUUUAUAAAAGGCAUAAUGUUUGCACUUUAUUUAAACUGAUCUUGUAUUGCUCUCCAGUUUUGAUGUUCCCAAACACUUGAUGACUUGAUGACACUUUGUCAUUUUAUAUACCCAAAUUAAUAUUUAAUUUUCACUGGAAAUUAAAUUUGGAUCUGCAUCAAAAUACAAACAGUGAAAGAGAAAUACGGAA